GAUGAACGCUGGCGGCGUGCCUAAUACAUGCAAGUCGAGCGAACGGACGAGAAGCUUGCUUCUCUGAUGUUAGCGGCGGACGGGUGAGUAACACGUGGAUAACCUACCUAUAAGACUGGGAUAACUUCGGGAAACCGGAGCUAAUACCGGAUGAUAUUUUGAACCGCAUGGUUCAAAAGUGAAAGACGGUCUUGCUGUCACUUAUAGAUGGAUCCGCGCUGCAUUAGCUAGUUGGUAAGGUAACGGCUUACCAAGGCAACGAUGCAUAGCCGACCUGAGAGGGUGAUCGGCCACACUGGAACUGAGACACGGUCCAGACCCCUACGGGAGGCAGCAGUAGGGAAUCUUCCGCAAUGGGCGAAAGCCUGACGGAGCAACGCCGCGUGAGUGAUGAAGGUCUUCGGAUCGUAAAACUCUGUUAUUAGGGAAGAACAUAUGUGUAAGUAACUGUGCACAUCUUGACGGUACCUAAUCAGAAAGCCACGGCUAACUACGUGCCAGCAGCCGCGGUAAUACGUAGGUGGCAAGCGUUAUCCGGAAUUAUUGGGCGUAAAGCGCGCGUAGGCGGUUUUUUAAGUCCGAUGUGAAAGCCCACGGCUCAACCGUGGAGGGUCAUUGGAAACUGGAAAACUUGAGUGCAGAAGAGGAAAGUGGAAUUCCAUGUGUAGCGGUGAAAUGCGCAGAGAUAUGGAGGAACACCAGUGGCGAAGGCGACUUUCUGGUCUGUAACUGACGCUGAUGUGCGAAAGCGUGGGGAUCAAACAGGAUUAGAUACCCUGGUAGUCCACGCCGUAAACGAUGAGUGCUAAGUGUUAGGGGGUUUCCGCCCCUUAGUGCUGCAGCUAACGCAUUAAGCACUCCGCCUGGGGAGUACGACCGCAAGGUUGAAACUCAAAGGAAUUGACGGGGACCCGCACAAGCGGUGGAGCAUGUGGUUUAAUUCGAAGCAACGCGAAGAACCUUACCAAAUCUUGACAUCCUUUGACAACUCUAGAGAUAGAGCCUUCCCCUUCGGGGGACAAAGUGACAGGUGGUGCAUGGUUGUCGUCAGCUCGUGUCGUGAGAUGUCGGGUUAAGUCCCGCAACGAGCGCAACCCUUAAGCUUAGUUGCCAUCAUUAAGUUGGGCACUCUAAGUUGACUGCCGGUGACAAACCGGAGGAAGGUGGGGAUGACGUCAAAUCAUCAUGCCCCUUAUGAUUUGGGCUACACACGUGCUACAAUGGACAAUACAAAGGGCAGCGAAACCGCGAGGUCAAGCAAAUCCCAUAAAGUUGUUCUCAGUUCGGAUUGUAGUCUGCAACUCGACUACAUGAAGCUGGAAUCGCUAGUAAUCGUAGAUCAGCAUGCUACGGUGAAUACGUUCCCGGGUCU
rnacentral:rRNA from 1 species